CUCAUCUUACCCAAAUCAAUUAUCCUCUCACUCACAUAAACCCUAACAUUCGCAGUCGCUCAAAUGGAGAUUAUCGAAUCUCUAGAAGACAUCCCAGUACAAAACCCACAAGCAGAAUACUUCUCAUAUCCUGAUUUGACCUGGACCAAGUUCGGUUCAACGGAGCAUCACGAAGAGGUAGCACUCAUCCCUCACUCAAGGGUCGUUGACUUCAUCAUCGGAGAAUGCUCAAACCCUGAGUGCCCCACUCGAUUUCACCUCCAAAGACAAAGGAAACACCCCCCAGGCAGCCUCAAGGAGUACAAGCCCGACGAAUUUCUCGAAUACAGACGGUAUUGGUGCUCUUUUGGUCCUGAGAACUACGGAGAAGGAGGCGGUCAGUUGCCCAGUAGAAAGUACCGUCUCAAAACCAGGAACCGAGCCGCGAGACCUCAAUCAAUGAGAGGAUGCACGUGCCAUUUCGUGGUGAAGCGUCUCUACGCCCGUCCUUCCCUCGCGCUUCUCGUUUACAAGGAGAGACGUCACGUGAACGAGGCCGGUUUCGUCUGCCACGGACCUCUCGACAGAGACGCGAUCGGCCCCCGUGCUAAGAAGGUUCCUUACAUAUGCAACGAGAUCCAGCAGCAGACUAUGUCUAUGAUCUAUCUCGGGAUCCCUGAAGAGAGUGUUCUAGAAAAACACAUCGAAGGGAUUCACAAGUAUUGUGGCUCGGACGCCACGGUCGAUGGUCUUGCCUCUCAGUAUGUUCAUAAGCUUGGGAUGAUUAUCAAACGCUCUACUCAUGAGCUGGACUUGGAUGAUCAUGCUAGUAUCAAGAUUUGGGCUGAGAGGAACAAGAAAUCUAUCUUUUCUUAUCAGGAGUCUUCGGAGACUGAUCAGUUCAUGCUUGGGAUUCAAACUGAGUGGCAGUUGCAGCAGUUCGUGCGCUUUGGUCAUUGUGGCCUCGUUGCAGCUGAUUCGACUUUUGGGAUAAAGAGGCUUAAGUAUCCUCUAUGCACGCUUCUUGUAUUUGAUUCAAGACGUCAUGCUCUACCUGUUGCUUGGAUUAUCUCUCGUAGCAAUUUGAAAUCUGAUGUCGACAAGUGGAUGAAAAUACUGCUCAAGCGCGCACAGAGUGUUGAGCCUGGCUUUAGGAUCAAUGCCUUUAUCAUUGACGAUGCUGCACUGGAGAUUGAUCCCAUAAGGGACACAUUUUGUUGCCCCAUCCUUUUCUCUCUCUGGCGUAUUCGUAGAUCAUGGCUUCGGAAUGUAGUGAAGAAGUGCGAUACCAUUGAGGUCCAAAGAGAGUUAUUCAAAUGUUCAGGACAAGUCGUGUACAGCAUUUGGGAUGGUGGCGUAGAUACAUCAAAGGCUCUAGAAAAAUUAACUCUGGAUUUUUCUGAUCAGACCGCCUUCAUGCAGUAUUUCACAUCCACUUGGUUGCCUAAAAUAGGAAUGUGGCUCUCAUCUAUGAAAAGUCUCCCACUUGCAAGCCAAGAAGCAUGUGGAGCUAUAGAAGCUUACCAUGUAAAGCUUAAAGUGAAGCUGUUUGACGAUACACAUCUCAAUGCUCUUCAGAGAGUAGAUUGGCUAGUACACAAGCUGACGACUGAACUCCACUCGAGUUAUUGGCUUGAUCGGUAUUCUGAUGAAAGUGACUCUUUCCAAAAUGUCAAAGAAGAAUACAUAGCUUCUACUUCCUGGCACAGGGCGUCGGAGAUUCCAGACUCUGCUGUUACACUAGACAGUAAUGACACCCUUGUUGCAAAGGUUCUGUCUCAGAGAGAUACCAAUGUAGCACGAGUUGUGUGGAACCCAGGUUCGGAGUUUGCCUUGUGCGAUUGUGCAUGGUCUUUGCAAGGGAACCUAUGCAAGCACAUCAUAAAGGUAAAUACAAUGUGUGAAAACCGUGAAGGUUAUGGUGACUCAAUGUCCUUGCGUUCCUUCAAAGAGAAACUGAGAAGCAUAAAGAUGAAACCAAUGGAUGACUCUAUGGACUUGGACCUUUCAAUGGCACUGACGAUGCAGAUGUUCGAUCAGAUAAAGCAGUUGGUGCAGUUAAGCGGAACAGAUGAUAUCAGCAACAUUGUCAAUGCUUUGCCGGUGAAAUGGGGUUGUAAGAAAGGCAGAACAACCGUAGGCAUUCCUGCUUCUAUUGCUGCCUUUACAAAGAAAAGGAGUCAGAAACGGAAGCGAUAGAGAUGAUACGAUAAAUGGUUGCGUACAUCACUUGUAGAAGGUUUAUGAUCCAAGGGAUGAUAAUCAAUACUUAGCUCACAGACGAACAUCAUUACUGAGUUGGAGGCUUGGAUUUGAGUCUAAGUUUUGGAGUUGAAUCUAUAUGUAUUUUAUAAUAUAUUUCUUCUUUGUUUUCUUAUAUGCAGAAUUAGAAUAAACAUCAUCCUUGACGUUUCGUCACAAUUCAUUGUUGGAACCUCAUGAAUGUAAUUUUUUUUUGUUGAUUUUUUGUAAUUUCUUUUUUGAUUUAUUGGUUCUAUUGGUUGAUUUUUUGUAAUAACCUCAUCAACCAAUUUCAUGAAUGUAAUAACCUCAUCAACCAAGCGA